UCCUAGCUCACUGGUACAACAUCUGCUUUGCAUGCAGAAGGUCACAGUUUCAAUUCCUGGCUGGGGAA